rnacentral:rRNA from 1 species
UACGUAGGUGGCAAGCGUUGUCCGGAAUUAUUGGGCGUAAAGCGCGCGCAGGCGGUCUUUUAAGUCUGAUGUGAAAGCCCACGGCUCAACCGUGGAAGGUCAUUGGAAACUGAAAGGCUUGAGUACAGAAGAGGAAAGCGGAAUUCCACGUGUAGCGGUGAAAUGCGUAGAGAUCGGGAGGAACACCUGUGGCGAAGGCGGCCCCCUGGGCCGGCCCUGACACUGAGACGCGAAGGCGUGGGGAGCGAACGGG